GAUGAACGCUGGCGGCGUGCCUAAUACAUGCAAGUCGAGCGAACAGACGAGGAGCUUGCUCCUCUGACGUUAGCGGCGGACGGGUGAGUAACACGUGGAUAACCUACCUAUAAGACUGGGAUAACUUCGGGAAACCGGAGCUAAUACCGGAUAAUAUAUUGAACCGCAUGGUUCAAUAGUGAAAGACGGUUUUGCUGUCACUUAUAGAUGGAUCCGCGCCGCAUUAGCUAGUUGGUAAGGUAACGGCUUACCAAGGCAACGAUGCGUAGCCGACCUGAGAGGGUGAACGGCCCCACUGGAAGUGAGACACGGUCCAGACUCCUACGGGAGGCAGCAGUAGGGAAUCUUCCGCGAUGGGCGAAAGCCUGACGGAGCAACGCCGCGUGAGUGAUGAAGGUCUUCGGAUCGUAAAACUCUGUUAUUAGGGAAGACCAAAUGUGUAAGUAACUAUGCACGUCUUGACGGUACCUAAUAAGAAAGCAACGGCUAACUACGUG
rnacentral:rRNA from 1 species